rnacentral:rRNA from 1 species
AUUGGGUUGAAGAUCAAUUCAUACCGACAAGACUUUCCAUUCAUCUUUUUGUUGAUAUUUGGAUUCCAUUUUCAAAUAAAGUCAUCUUGUAGUUAGAAAUCACCUUUAGAAUCAUCAGCCUCUGUCCCUACACUGACUCGCUUAUCCGGGAUCGAUCCUCACUACAGUCCUUUAUUUCGAAACAAGGAUAGGUCUCUCGCGGAACGAGGUGUAGAUUGA